rnacentral:rRNA from 1 species
AGAGUUUGAUCAUGGCUCAGGAUGAACGCUAGCUACAGGCUUAACACAUGCAAGUCGAGGGGAAACGAUAUUGGAAGCUUGCUUCCGAUAGGCGUCGACCGGCGCACGGGUGAGUAACGCGUAUCCAACCUGCCCACCACUUGGGGAUAACCUUGCGAAAGUAAGACUAAUACCCAAUGACGUCUCUAGAAGACAUCUGAAGGAGAUUAAAGAUUUAUCGGUGAUGGAUGGGGAUGCGUCUGAUUAGCUUGUUGGCGGGGUAACGGCCCACCAAGGCAACGAUCAGUAGGGGUUCUGAGAGGAAGGUCCCCCACAUUGGAACUGAGACACGGUCCAAACUCCUACGGGAGGCAGCAGUGAGGAAUAUUGGUCAAUGGGCGAGAGCCUGAACCAGCCAAGUAGCGUGCAGGAAGACGGCCCUAUGGGUUGUAAACUGCUUUUAUAAGGGAAUAAAGUUAGUCUCGUGAGACUUUUUGCAUGUACCUUAUGAAUAAGGACCGGCUAAUUCCGUGCCAGCAGCCGCGGUAAUACGGAAGGUCCGGGCGUUAUCCGGAUUUAUUGGGUUUAAAGGGAGCGUAGGCCGGAGAUUAAGCGUGUUGUGAAAUGUAGACGCUCAACGUCUGCACUGCAGCGCGAACUGGUUUCCUUGAGUACGCACAAAGUGGGCGGAAUUCGUGGUGUAGCGGUGAAAUGCUUAGAUAUCACGAAGAACUCCGAUUGCGAAGGCAGCUCACUGGAGCGCAACUGACGCUGAAGCUCGAAAGUGCGGGUAUCGAACAGGAUUAGAUACCCUGGUAGUCCGCACGGUAAACGAUGGAUGCCCGCUGUUGGUCUGAACAGGUCAGCGGCCAAGCGAAAGCAUUAAGCAUCCCACCUGGGGAGUACGCCGGCAACGGUGAAACUCAAAGGAAUUGACGGGGGCCCGCACAAGCGGAGGAACAUGUGGUUUAAUUCGAUGAUACGCGAGGAACCUUACCCGGGCUUGAAUUGCAGAGGAAGGAUUUGGAGACAAUGACGCCCUUCGGGGCCUCUGUGAAGGUGCUGCAUGGUUGUCGUCAGCUCGUGCCGUGAGGUGUCGGCUUAAGUGCCAUAACGAGCGCAACCCCUCUCCUUAGUUGCCAUCAGGUUAAGCUGGGCACUCUGGGGACACUGCCACCGUAAGGUGUGAGGAAGGUGGGGAUGACGUCAAAUCAGCACGGCCCUUACGUCCGGGGCUACACACGUGUUACAAUGGCAGGUACAGAGAGAC